rnacentral:rRNA from 1 species
GGGCCCGCACAAGCAGCGGAGCAUGUGGUUUAAUUCGACGCAACGCGAAGAACCUUACCAGGGCUUGACAUCUGUAGAAUUCGGUAGAAAUACUGAAGUGCCCUUUCGGGGGAACUGCAAGACAGGUGGUGCAUGGUUGUCGUCAGCUCGUGUCGUGAGAUGUUAGGUUAAGUCCUGCAACGAGCGCAACCCCUGUUGUUAGUUGCUAGCAUUAAGUUGAGCACUCUAACGAGACUGCCGAGGUUAACUCGGAGGAAGGUGGGGAUGACGUCAAAUCAUCAUGCCCUUUAUGCCCUGGGCCACACACGUGCUACAAUGGCCGGUACAAAGAGAAGCAAGGCAGCGAUGCGGAGCAAAUCUCAAAAACCGGUCCCAGUUCGGAUUGCAGGCUGCAACUCGCCUGCAUGAAGCUGGAGUUGCUAGUAAUCGUGAAUCAGCAUGUCACGGUGAAUGCGUUCCCGGGCCUU